rnacentral:rRNA from 1 species
GUCCGGCACGAGCGCACCCUUGUCCUUAUUUGCUACAUUCUUAUGACCACUCUUUUGAGACUGCCGGUGACGACCCGGAGGAAGAAGGGGAUGACGACAACUCCUCAUGGCCCUUAUUAGUGGGGCUACUCCCCUCAUACAAUGGCUGGUACAAAGGGUUGCCAACCCGCGAGGGGGAGCUAAUCCCAUAAAACCACCGAUAGUCCGGAUCAUUGUCUGCAGCUCCUCUGCUUGAAGACGGAAUAACUAGUAAUCACGGAUCAUCAUACCGCGGUGAAUAAUUUCCCGGGUCUUGUUGACCCCGCCCCC